UGCUUUUACUGAAUCGGUGCCGUUGUCUCUGUUGUGGCCAGGCUCCGGGAGCUCGCUGCUUUCAUCUCAUUCUUCAUGGAGCCAAAGACAAAUUGGAACAGGCACCCUACAGGGGUUUUCUCUGCCAGGAGGACUCUUCUCAGCAAAUGAAAUGGACGUGUCCUGAUGGAAUGAAUUUCCACAAAGACCUGCUGCAGGGAAGGUUUCAGCUUUAUCAGAGUAGAAACCUGUCUGUCUUCAUGAAGUGUCCCUGAUAUGACCAACAGGACCAGGCCUACAGCAGGCAUGUGACAAAAGCAAGUGUCAAAUGAUACAUAAAUGACGUCCUGCUCCUUUACUGAGAGUUUUUUGAAGGUCAAGGAGCGGUGGCAGGAGAGAAUUAUAGUCACUUGGGAUAAUUCCAGGAUGUGACUGAGAAAGUGUGUGGAGAUGGUGUUUGGCAGCAUCUUCCAGACUCAGCUUUCUCAGUGUGGGGAACUGAGUGCCGGGGUCCCAGGUGAGUGAUCCCACAGAUCCAGGCUUCUUGCUGAAGAGGCACCACAGAGUCUUCCUGGCUCUGACAGAGGUCACUUUGGGACAACCCCAGCAGAAGCAUAGAAGGUCAAGGACAGUCAGGUCUCAGAGAGGUUAUUGACUUAAAGGAAACCUUGACUGUUAUGUCCGGGAUAAGAAGCUACUCCAGGAAAGGGAAGGCGCCCCGCUGGGAGCCAAGGUGUGGGAGGAGGGGGCUGGCGCCCAACCCCAUCCUCCUGACCACCCCUUGGUCACACAGGAUGCAUUUCCAGGGGCCUCCAGCCAACCUCUUGACUCUUCUCAUUGCCAAGUACAGGGGCCAGUCUGUCUCUUCUGACCUUUCUGAAGCUGCUGAUUCAGUGAAUCACUUUCUAUCCUCAUUGUCUUCUUCGCUCUUGGCAGGCUUCCUUAAAGAAGAAACAAAACUCCUUUGAAAGAUUAAUAUUGACCACAAAGGAUACGUUUCUCCACUUUUUUUUUAACAUUUCACUUUUCAAUCUCAAUUGAUUCAACUGGUUGCGACUACAAUACAUUACAAUUAAACAUUAGAGGCAGGAGCUGGGGACCAAAGGCAAUAUUGAUGGACUGUCUGUCGAAUAUUGAAGUUUUCAACAUAAAAAUGAAUCACUUUAUUAUUUCCUAUAGACAUGCAACUGUUCAAAACAGCACACUCCUGGGUUGCAAAGGCGUCAUUUAGCACAGGCCCAUAGGACUUGAGCUAAGCAUCCAGGAGUCUGAGCCUUUUGUACCCAGCGGGGAACUCAAGCAAGAGUCUGUGGUUCUCUCUCCAAUGGCACCCGUGCACAAGGCUGGGAAAUCAGGUGUCUGCCCUCAUGGGAAUAUGCCAUUUUAUGGCUCUGUGGUAAGAUAACGUUGAGGAAUGCUCUGACUCCAGCUACCUUCCUACCUGGACAGAUCUUGGUGACAAUGCUCAAGAAAUAAAUCAGAAAAAGAAUUAAAGAAUUACUAUUUGAGGGGAAGAGUCCACAGUACUCAACCAAAGGCUUAUUAAACUGUCUCUCACACUCACACUUUUCUAGGGCUGCCAUAGCAAAGUACCACCAACUGGCUUGAAACAGAAGUUGUUCUCUCAUAGUUCUGGAGCCUACAAGUCUGAAAUCAGAUGUGGGCAGGGCCACACUCUCUGUGAAAACUGUAAGGGAGAAUCCCUCCUGCCUCUUCCAGCUUCUGCGGCUCCUGGCAAGUCGUGGCAUUCCUUGCAGCCACAUCACUCCUCUCCCUGCCUCUGUUGUCACAGGGCACGAUCCCUGUGUGUCUAUGUCCGUGAGUCCAAAUAUCCCUCUUUUUAUAAGGACACCUGCCCUAUUGGAUUUAGCGCCCAUCUAAUUCACUAUGAUCUCAUCUUAAUUACUUACCUCUGCAAUGACCCCACUCCAUGUAAGCUCACAUUCUGAAGUACUGAGGGUGAGGACUUGAGCAUAUGGAUUUGGUGGGCCAUACAUUAGGCAAGUCUAUUGUGUAGCCGGGGUAGACAAUCCUAGCUGUUGAAGGCCAAGAGGAGAAAACGGGGAGUUCUUUUUCCAUCUCUGGGUGAGGAAGGGCCCAAGUUUCCUGUUUGACACUAAACUGAAAACCAGAGCACUCUCGACUCACUGAACAAGUUUCUGCAGGGUGGUUCACCUCUGGAAGUUCCUGUGGAGAGAGGAUGUCCUGGCACGGCCACAUGUCACUGAGCCAGCUGGCCUGUAGGCGAGGCCACGUCACUGGUGACCAGGUUGCUGGACUCAGAGUGUCUGUCAGAGCCACAGGCAGGAAGGAUAGCAGCCCAGAGUGGCCCAGCCACGUCACCAGCAGGAGGACAGAUUGGCCCCGGGGCAGGGUCCAGAGGUGCCCCUGGCAGGACAUCACAGAGAUGCCUUGGGUGGGCCCUUGGGGGUGAUGUAGAGGUGAAGGCAGAGGAUGGGGUGAGCAGUCUAACAGAAGCCUUUCUCCAAGCUCUGCCCUGUGGGAGGCUAUCCCCCAUGGACCCCCACGAAGAGAGAUCCCCUAUUCAUCUCUUGCUCAGAGGUAAGAAGGUGGAGCAUCCUGCCAGCACUCCUCAGUCCUAGGCCUGGCUCCUACUUCCAGAGCAAACAUUCACCUCUCAGCCUCAGGGUGGGAAGAUACUACGUCCCCUCCAAGGCUUUUACAUCCCAGUGCCUCCAAGAAGCACCGAGGCCCCUCAUCAAGGUCUCCUCGCCCGCCGGUUCCUUUCUGUCUGCACUCUUCUCUUCAGGCACGAUUUUGUGUUCCCUUAAGUUAUAUGUCAGCUCUCUGCGAGGGCAGGGCCGGCCUGAAUGUAGAGACCGGCAGCAGGAAGACGCCGGUGUGCUGAUUCACGCUAGUUCCUCUCACCACGUUGGACAUCCAGGAUGCCUGACAGAGGUGCUAACAUUUAUGCAGCGCCCUGAGGUUCACCAAGGCCUGUCACACUUAUCGUCCCACCUUGACUUGCCCCUUGGUAGCGCCAACGUCACCUGGGAGCCAUGCCAGCUCUGAGGGCCUGUGACCUGAGCAGUCCUACGGGUCCCUGUGCUCAGGACUCUGUACUUAGAAGAUCACCCACCAUCUCAAUGCUCUGCUCUUGUCAGCUCAGAAUUCUUAAUCAUGUUUAAACAAGGGGCCUUGCAUUUUCCUUUUGUACGGAGCCUUGUAAAUUGGUAGCUGGUCCUGCCUGGGAACAUCUUUAAAAUGCAGAAUCUCAGGCCCUGCUCUGCACCCUCUAAACCAGAACCUGCAUUUUAACAAGAUCCCCAAUCGCUCCACAUCCCGUGAGAGUGUGAGAAGCCCUCUCUGUAGCCCUUCGGAGUUGUUCGCCUAGAAGUUAGUACCAAAGAUGUUAUGAGGGGAGAUAAAAUAUUUUGAAAAAUGCAUGUAGGACAAUAACAAUGUUGGCAACCUACAGAUGCUUUGUUUAAUAGUCUUGAACUUAGCAUCUUGGAAUAAGCAAUACUGUCCCGUCGUUUCGGAAGGCUCACACCCAGCAGAGAUCUUGUCAGGAAUGCCAGCAGGGAGCAGGAACCCAGCCCUGCUCCAGCCCCAUUCCUUCAUUUGGGAAUGGAGCCAAACAUUCCUAGUCCACGUCCUGGCCAGGACAACAGGGGAAUUCCUUGGCGGGGGGGUGUCCAUCUGUGGGUUCUGUGGAUACCACUCGCAGGCUUACUGGGGUGCUAAUCCUUCUGGAGCUCGGGUAAGCUACGUGCCUAUGCAUUCUGGAAGUGACUGGGAACACCCACGUGGUCCCACCAUGCUGAGGGGCACGGCUCUCCCACCAGGGGCUCUAACCAAGGGUGAUGUCCUCAGUGACUGCUCAUGGAUCUUUGCAGGGAGGAAGGGCACACAGAGUCACAAAAAGCUCCAACCAGCACUCACCCAGCCGAGCAUCACUGAUGGAAGAGACAUCUGUGGUCAGUAUAUUUUGGACUUGAGAUCUCUGGGCGGAGAUAUCUCUUGGGGGAACAGUCCCACGGAAAUUAAGGCAACGAAUGAAUGCCCCGGCUACAGGCACAACUGUGCCCUGCCACUUGCCAUUCAUCAGUGCAGAGCGACUCACCCCCUCAUCUCAGAUCUCCUCACUCCGCUGUGUCAUGCCCUUGGACACUCACCCUGAACACCACCAUCGUCUGGCCACGGAAAUGAAGGAGCAACGAUGCCCCUUUGGGAUGGGUGCCCUCUCCACCCACCCACAGCAGGAUUAGCACAGAUUAUCCCUCUUGGAAUUCCCAUAGAAAAUGAUAAAUAUUCCUGCAAAGGAACGCUAGUGCCUAAGAAUAGGUACCAAAAAAGUUAACUCACUGAGAUUCACUUUGUUUUAAACCUUAGAAUUAAACCUUAAGUAGAAUGCAGGUCGCUAGGGCCUGGAGGAGGGGAAUGGGAAGUUAGUUUUUAGUGGUGACGGGGUUUCAGUUGGGGAAGAUGCAAAAAGUUCUGGGGAUGAUGCUGAUGGGUGCAUAACAAUGAGAAUGUACUUAAUGUCACUGAACUGGACACAAAUGGUUAAAAUGGUAAGUUUUAUGUCAGUUGAUCCCCUGUAGCUAACUUGUAGUGUGAGCCUUAAAAAUAAACGAAGGAAAAUAAA